GGCGGCCGCGGUCGCGUGGUGGCGCGAGAAGUCGGACGCCGCCGUCGUCGAGGGCAAGGACUUGGACUACCACCUCGCCACGAAGCGGUGAGGGGAGCG
rnacentral:SRP_RNA from 1 species